rnacentral:rRNA from 1 species
GGGUUGUGAGGUUAAGCGACUAAGCGUACACGGUGGAUGCCCUGGCAGUCAGAGGCGAUGAAGGACGUGCUAAUCUGCGAUAAGCGUCGGUAAGGUGAUAUGAACCGUUAUAACCGGCGAUUUCCGAAUGGGGAAACCCAGUGUGAUUCGUCACACUAUCAUUAACUGAAUCCAUAGGUUAAUGAGGCGAACCGGGGGAACUGAAACAUCUAAGUACCCCGAGGAAAAGAAAUCAACCGAGAUUCCCCCAGUAGCGGCGAGCGAACGGGGAGCAGCCCAGAGCCUGAAUCAGUGUGUGUGUUAGUGGAAGCGUCUGGAAAGGCGCGCGAUACAGGGUGACAGCCCCGUACACAAAAAUGCACAUACUGUGAGCUCGAUGAGUAGGGCGGGACACGUGGUAUCCUGUCUGAAUAUGGGGGGACCAUCCUCCAAGGCUAAAUACUCCUGACUGACCGAUAGUGAACCAGUACCGUGAGGGAAAGGCGAAAAGAACCCCGGCGAGGGGAGUGAAAAAGAACCUGAAACCGUGUACGUACAAGCAGUGGGAGCACAGAGCAAUCUGUGUGACUGCGUACCUUUU